UACGGGGGGAGCAAGCGUUGUUCGGAUUUACUGGGCGUAAAGGGCGCGUAGGCGGCGUGACAAGUCACUUGUGAAAUCUCCGGGCUUAACCCGGAGCGGCCAAGUGAUACUGUCGUGCUAGAGUGCGGAAGGGGCUACUGGAAUUCUCGGUGUAGCGGUGAAAUGCGUAGAUAUCGAGAGGAACACCUGCGGCGAAGGCGGGUAGCUGGGCCGACACUGACGCUGAGGCGCGAAAGCCAGGGGAGCGAACGGG
rnacentral:rRNA from 2 species